GCAUGCUACUAUUUUCUGCCGUGUUAGCAGAUCAUUUGCGAAUCAAAGUAAUAAGAAAGCAAACGCUACACUGGGAAUGUGAUGGUCAGCUGAGCUCGAGCUCCAUGUGUCGAGCAUUGAGGUGCAGUGCAGGAAUGGAUCCUCUGGGAGCACGCUCUCAGUUUGUGGAGGUCCAGACUCUGUCCACCUGGGAGCGGCAGCCGGACCCUGAGGGAGAGGAGGAGGAGUACAACGACAGCCUGGUCAGCCAGCAGGCCUUCCUAUCCCCCUUCCCCUACAGAGAGGACAUCAACAGGAAAAUAGUGCUCUAUAAUGGCGACGUUGCCCUGCUGAACUGCACAGCGAUCGUCAACACAAGUAAUGAGACUCUGACGGACAAGAACCCUAUCUCUGAGAGCAUCCACACAUACGCUGGGCCUGAACUUCGAGACGAGAUGCUCAAACUGAAAGGAUGUCGGACAGGCGAGGCAAAGAUGACCAAAGGCUUUAACCUGGCGGCGCGCUUUAUCAUCCACACGGUGGGCCCCAAGUACAAAACCAAGUACAGGACUGCUGCAGAGAACUCGCUGUACAACUGCUAUAGGAACGUCAUGCAGCUCGCCAGAGAGCAGGCUAUGGCGUCUGUGGCCGUCUGUGUGGUCAGCACAACUAAGAGAGGAUACCCACUGGAGGACGCUACACACAUUGCCUUCAGAACGGUCCGCAGGUUUCUGGAGAACUAUGGAGAGAGCAUAGAGACAGUGGUGUUCGCUGUGACAGACAUGGAGGAGCCCACAUACAGGAAGCUGCUGCCUCUCUACUACCCUCGUUCUGAGGAAGAGGAGCGUGCCAGCCUGCCCCUAAUCCCGGCUGACAUCGGGAACUCAGAAGGCGAGCCUGUAGUCCCAGAGAGACAGAUCCGCAUCGCCGAGAAACCAGGCUGUCUGGAAGUUGACUCUGAGGCGGAGACUCUGGACUCAGACCUGGGCCAGGUGGGGACUCAUGCGUUUUCCCGGAUGGAGGGAGACGUGGACAAACAGCGCAAACUAAUCCUGCAGGGCCAGCUGUCUGAUGCAACCAUGCAGAAACAGCACCAGAGAAAUUAUAACCGCUGGUUAUGUCGAGCCAGAGCAGAGGACUUGUCUGACAUAGCAGCACUGAAAGCCUUAUAUCAAACUGGCGUUGACAUGUGUGGCAGGACAGUGAUGGUUCUUGUAGGCAGAAAUAUUCCAGUCACCCUCAUCGACAUGGAAAAGGCCCUGCUGUACUUCAUCCAUGUCAUGGACCACAUCACAGUGAAGGAGUAUGUGAUGGUUUACUUUCACACACUGACCGGAGAACACAACCAUCUGGACUCUGAAUUCCUUAAGAAGCUUCAUGAGAUUGUAGACGCCAAGUUUAAGAAUAACUUGAGGGCUUUCUACUUUGUACACCCCUCUUUUCGCUCCAAGGUGUCCACCUGGUUCUUCACUACGUUCAGUGUGUCAGGGAUGAAGCAGAAGGUCCAUCAUGUAGAGACCCUCCAGCAGCUGUUCACUUGUAUCCUGCCUGAACAGAUAGACAUUCCUCCCUUUGUCUUGGAGUACGAUGCACGGGUGUGAACCAAUCAGAACUCCGACAGAGAGAGACUCAGAGGGUGUUUCUCAAAAUGCAUACUUCCAUAUUCCGAGCACGCAAAUAGGCGCACGGGAGGGUCGAAGUCCAAAUCAAAGUAUGCGAAACAGCGCACCGAGGGCACUCCUUGAAUGCACACUCCGUUUUGUACAUAUUUUGAAGUAUGCAUCGAUGCUAGCUUCAAUGGAAAGUAUGCAAGGAAAUAUGACGCAAGAACGUUAGAAAUGGAGAAUUUCCUGAAAUCAUUGGUGGCCAUUAUUUUAGCUGAAGCAGAGAAAAUACACUCCGACUAAGGCAUGAAAUGUUGCCUAUUCACAUCUCAAAUGUUUCCUGACUACAAUACUUUAUCAUUAUAUGUUAAUAUAUACAUGCUGUGUUAAUUUUGGCAUGUUUAACUGCCUACGUACCGUAGCACAUAAGUCAAUAGGGCUAACUGGCUAGCUACCACUGUUAGCCAGCCAGAUCGCUACGAAUAAUUUACAUCUUGCAAAAUAUUAUUUUUAGUUUAACAGGCAAAAAUGACCUAUCUGGUUAGCUACAUUUACGAUUCUCAUAUCUAGCUGAUAAUUAUGAAGUAAAUGUUUGCUUUGUGAAUAUCUUGUUUUGUCUUGUUGCCAUUGUGGCUGGAAGAAGGUUUAGUGACUGGGGAGGUUAAGCGUGAGGUAAUACAGUAGGGGGAGUGCGAGUGCUUCUCAGAUGUGAUGUUUUAUGCAUAGUCCACACUCUCGUCCUCACAAGAACGUACUCAGUGAGAGAGUGGAGCACGGUAGUAUGCAUAUUGAGAAACACCCUGAGACUCAUUCUGUGUUCAUAUCCAAGUGGGAAGGAGGUUUUUACCACAUACGACUGGGAAAAAUCCACUUGAACGCCCCUCCAACUGCAGUGUGAUGCAAUCAAAUGACAGACGGAUAGAAGGAUGGAUCUCUUUGUGACGAAGCCUGUGUGAACUCGCCAACCUAUCCCAGGACACUCCGCUGGCCUAUCUUAAAAACCUGCCCUCCUGUGUGCGUGAGAGUGAUAUCGCUCAUGUUAUGUUUCACAUUUUUUAUUUUUGCAAAACUUCACCGAGUGGUAGGUUUUGGAGGUUGUAUAUGUUCACAAGCUGUUUAAAUGUGAAUCUGUUUUUAGGUAAACGUACUGUAGUGUUUAAUGUGUUAAUGGCAGAGGUGUGUGUGUGUGUGUGUGUGUGUGUGUGUGUGUGUGUGUGUGUGUCACUUGAAACAAUGAAACCAUAAACACAGUUCUACUGCUUCUGUCAAAGAACAUUCAUUAAAUACCAUAGAAGUUAAUUGUUGAACUGAUUAAGAGCGUUUGAUAAAAUAUGAAAUACUAGCAUUCUUUUGAAAACACAGGCAGAUAGUUUGUUUCUGGAGUGUACUUAGCGCAGUACUGUGUGUAAGAAUGUUUUUUUUUCAUGAAGAACCAAACGGUUCCUAUUUUUCUUUACAUUGAAUUUAUACCAUGGGAUGCUGCAUCUUCCAAUCCCCAUUAUCACAGUUAAAGUUAUACGUCAGAUGUUAGGAUGCUGCACUAUUAUUGCAUUCCUAACUUUAAACAUCUUGUAUCUAGAAUUUAUUUUGCACAAAUCUCCUAGUGACGUCAAUGCAUGAUUUUGGAUUUCUGAAUACCAAAAUGAACUAAUGAUUGUGUUCACCAUGCGGUCAGUUUCUUCAUAAGUAUGUUUAAUUUUACCAUGUGGUCAGUUUCUUUAUAAGUAUGUUUAAUUUUACCAUGCGGUCAGUUUCUUCAUAAGUAUGUUUAAUUUUACCAUGUGGUCAGUUUCUUUAUAAGUAUGUUUAAUUUUACCAUGUGGUCAGUUUCUUUAUAAGUAUGUUUAAUUUUACCAUGUGGUCAGUUUCUUUAUAAGUAUGUUUAAUUUUACCAUGUGGUCAGUUUCUUUAUAAGUAUGUUUAAUUUUACCAUGUGGUCAGUUUCUUUAUAAGUAUGUUUAAUUUUACCAUGUGGUCAGUUUCUUUAUAAGUAUGUUUAAUUUUACCAUGUGGUCAGUUUCUUUAUAAGUAUGUUUAAUUUUACCAUGCGGUCAGUUUCUUUAUAAGUAUGUUUAACUUGAUUUCUCCUUUGUUACCUCCUCUAUUACGUUGUGAUUGUUUUCACUGUAUGCCAGCCUUGCUCUUCUGUCAAUUACCGCACAAGCUUUCCUGAGACAUGUAUCAGCUGUAGUUAGUGUUGUUUUAGUGGUCUAUUAGAGAGAAGAUGUAAUCAGAGAUUUGAGCUGCAUCCCAAUACAUUCCGUGCCAUGUUAAUGAUGUAGAGUUUUUCAUUUUGAGGUAAAGACAUGCAAAUAAACAGUCGUACCAUUCUGA